UAGGGAAUCUUCGGCAAUGGGGGGAACCCUGACCGAGCAACGCCGCGUGAGUGAAGAAGGUUUUCGGAUCGUAAAGCUCUGUUGUUAAGGAAGAACGAGUGUGAGAAUGGAAAGUUCAUACUGUGACGGUACUUAACCAGAAAGGGACGGCUAACUACGUGCCAGCAGCCGCGGUAAUACGUAGGUCCCGAGCGUUGUCCGGAUUUAUUGGGCGUAAAGCGAGCGCAGGCGGUUAGAUAAGUCUGAAGUUAAAGGCAGUGGCUCAACCAUUGUAGGCUUUGGAAACUGUUUAACUUGAGUGCAGAAGGGGAGGGUGGAAUUCCAUGUGUAGCGGUGAAAUGCGUAGAUAUAUGGAGGAACACCGGUGGCGAGAGCGGCUCUCUGGUCUGUAACUGACGCUGAGGCUCGAAAGCGUGGGGAGCGAACAGG
rnacentral:rRNA from 1 species